rnacentral:rRNA from 1 species
CGUGCUUAACACAUGCAAGUCGAACGAUGAAGGGAGAAGCUUGCUUCUUCUGGAUUAGUGGCGAACGGGUGAGUAACACGUGAGCAAUCUGCCCUUGACUCUGGGAUAAGCGUUGGAAACGACGUCUAAUACCGGAUACGACCCUCGGAGGCAUCUCCUGGGGGUGGAAAGAAUUUUGGUCAAGGAUGAGCUCGCGGCCUAUCAGCUUGUUGGUGAGGUAAUGGCUCACCAAGGCGACGACGGGUAGCCGGCCUGAGAGGGUGACCGGCCACACUGGGACUGAGACACGGCCCAGACUCCUACGGGAGGCAGCAGUGGGGAAUAUUGCACAAUGGGCGAAAGCCUGAUGCAGCAACGCCGCGUGAGGGAUGACGGCCUUCGGGUUGUAAACCUCUUUUAGUAGGGAAGAAGCGAAAGUGACGGUACCUGCAGAAAAAGCACCGGCUAACUACGUGCCAGCAGCCGCGGUAAUACGUAGGGUGCAAGCGUUGUCCGGAAUUAUUGGGCGUAAAGAGCUCGUAGGCGGUUUGUCGCGUCUGCUGUGAAAUCUGGGGGCUCAACCCCCAGCCUGCAGUGGGUACGGGCAGACUAGAGUGCGGUAGGGGAGAUUGGAAUUCCUGGUGUAGCGGUGGAAUGCGCAGAUAUCAGGAGGAACACCGAUGGCGAAGGCAGAUCUCUGGGCCGUAACUGACGCUGAGGAGCGAAAGCAUGGGGAGCGAACAGGAUUAGAUACCCUGGUAGUCCAUGCCGUAAACGUUGGGAACUAGAUGUG